AUUCGGGCUCCAUUAGCAAUCUUAAUUAAUUAUACAAAUCUAUUAAUUCAUAAAAUACCGUUUAUCAUUUAUUAAGCUUUAAUACCGUGAUAGGAAACAGGGUGAGAGAUCCUUACCUAUUUUGGGGUCUGAAAUCGGCUCUACAAUGCGCCUACGGGCUGUCUCUAAAUUUCCUAAAUUUUCUCCUAGGAAACUGAAACGCACUACUGGUAUCUGCAGGUGUCCUAAAAAACUCCAAAUCAGACCCAGGGCCCCUUUUCGGCCAAUAUCAAAAUUCCGGCACAGUGGCUCCACCGUGCUCUGGCGAUGGCACCGCCGCCCGCAACGGCAAACAGCCCCGGGUUG
rnacentral:lncRNA from 1 species